UGAGCAAUCUGCCCUUCUCUUCGGAAUAAGCGUUGGAAACGACGUCUAAUGCCGAAUACGACCUCCUUUCGCAUGAUCGGAGGUGGAAAGCUCCGGCGGAGAAGGAUGAGCUCGCGGCCUAUCAGCUAGUUGGUGUGGGUAAUGGCCCACCAAGGCGACGACGGGUAGCCGGCCUGAGAGGGUGACCGGCCACACUGGGACUGAGACACGGCCCAGACUCCGUACGGGGAGGNAGCG
rnacentral:rRNA from 1 species